ensembl:sense_intronic
UUUUGCUCACUGCUGUUACUUUUGUGUGCGUUGUUGAAUUUGUAAUUGUUUUUUCAUCAGCAGCUAAUCUUUUGUAUUUCUUAGCAGUAGACUUCUUAGGGCAUGGUUAAAGAGAGUGUUGAUGUUAGCAAGCAGAAUUCCUGAGUUGUUUUUUGGUGUAUGUCAUUGUUUGCUUAGGUGAUGGUUGCCAUGGGAUGAAUCACUCAGAAGCCUUACUACAUUCAUGUGUUUAUUUGGAUGGAUGCAUGCCAUCGCACAAGUGUGCAGCUACCUAGGAGUCCAGGCUCCCCAUUUGCCAGGUGGGUUUCAGGCAUGGAACUCCAGGCACCAGGGCCCCCAAUAUAAUCUGUAAGCUUUUACAAAAUCGAUACUUACCUUAUCGGUGUCAUCACCUGAAGAAUGAAGAAAUAAAAUUAGAUGCCAGUGUAUACUCCCUGAACUAAUUCAACCGGAUUGGUAAGCUAAUACAGAAUAAUCCUUUCUGGCAGCACCACCAUUUUGUCAGUGCUUCCAAGCUCAGGUGUUUCAAAGACUAAUGAGAGUCACAUUGAGGCUUAGAUGAUGUGUGCCUUCACACGAGCUCAGAUGCUUAUUUCAUACUGCCUUUAACGGCUAACAGUGGUCCUCUCAACACUCAGAGGCAGCACUGGUACUGAAGAGCAGGCCGUCUCAGCUUACCACGCCUGAGGAUAUCAGCUGGCCACUGUAGCCUGCCUAUUGUGGGCCUAGUUUUGAACUGUGGGCCAAACUUUCAGUCUGAUCAAAUCUGGCUUUCCACAGGAUGGCAGUUGGCAUCUUUCAAGAUACUGGUCAUGUCUCUCCAGUAAGCUUUGUUCUUGGUACUAAUAUUGCUAUGUCAAAUCACUAUAAAUCUCGAAUUCAGAAGGGUUUUUUUUAAACUAUGAAUUCUUUUUGCCUACUGAGAGGAGGAAUUGCCUUCUAUGUAUGUCAGUGUCUUAGUUAAGGUUUCUUUCAUUGUAAUAAAACACCAUGGCCAAAAGCAAUUUGGGGAAGAAAGACUUUAUUUCCACUUACAUCGGUCAGGUCACACACUCCAUUACUGAGGGAAAUGAGAGCAGGGGCUGAAGCAGAGGCCAAGGAAGGAUGCUGCAUAUUGGCUUGUAUAGAUAGCACUCAGAGCCACCAUCCCAGGAUGACACCUGUCACAGUGAGUUGGGCCCUCCCUCAUCAAUCACCACUUAAGAAAACGCCCCAUGUGUUAGGGGUAUUUUCUUCAUUGAAGUUUCCUCUUUCCCAAAUGACUCUAGCUUGUGUUGUGUUGACAUAAAACUAGCCACACACUUGGUUUAUUAUUUCACUUAAGUUGUUCUUGUGAUAUGUCUUGAUAGCUCAAGGAAUUCUAGAAGACCCAGUCCUGUGGACAACCUACUUCUGUAAUUGUUUUUGAAUGUUGAAAUAGGUUAAUCCUGAUGCCUUUUAAAAACUAUAGUCAUUUAUAUUCGUUACAUACAAACAAAUUAAUGUGAGGCAGUGAUAUUCCGUACAUACCUAUGCUAUGUAUACAUACUGUGUGUGUACUCCAUGUUCCUUACUCCCCAACACAUGAGAUAAAAUAUACAGUUCUUUGAGAUAAAAUAUACAGUCCUUUACUUUUCUGUAUUUAGCAAUGUCCUUUUCAGAAACUUACAUUAUUUCAUUGUUUGUUGUGUAUACAUACCAUGCUUAUGUUUUUCAGUCCAAAUCAUCUUUUGACAGGCAUAUAGGCUGAUUCUUGGCUGUUGUGAAUAGUACCACAGUAAACAAAGCUACACAGGGCUGUAGUGAUUGGAAAAAAGGAAGACAAAAGCUGAGUGAUAUCAAAUCCAGAGAUAAAUAGAUGUCAAUGAUUGACACCGUUGACAAAAUACUGAUAUUACAAACAACGAUGCUGCAGCAGUGGUGGGCUCAGUAGAGAUUGGAAGAAUUUAUUUUUCUUGCAUCCGUUAGUAAAUUGGAGAAAACUAUGGGCAAGGAGGAGUUCAGGAAGAUGCAUAGACAUUGUGAGGGGAGUCUGCACCCCAGGAGCAGCGGCUGGACAGCUGUGUGACAGCAUGCCUGCCCUGCUGCUCCUCCUGCCUCCUUACUUGGAUUGUGUGGGUCAGAUACACUUGGCUAACAGUGCAUAUCCACUCAAGUCUUUGUUUCUAGUGCAGAGGUCGACUGAGAUGGUCUGGCGGGGUUGUGGGGAGCCUUGCAUGCUGGCUCCUGCCCUCCACCCACCUACUAUACAGUCUUAGUGUGUUUGCACUUCGUGAAGCACCCUAUCUGGGAUGCUCUGGAAUGAGUGUAAUUACAGAAAAGGCUCCAUUUUCACUCGUGAUUUGGAGAGCAGCAGUGAAUACCUUAACCUUGUGUCUAUCUGCUUUUUCAGUGUUGACAAAAAAAAAUUCCAGUGUACACUUAAAUAAAAAGAAACAUACAGUUUUAGAACCUUAAGACUUUAGUGUGAAAAAAAAUAGGGCUUAAUACUAUUUAGUGUUAGGCACAAAAUAGUGUUACUCCUGUUAAAUUCUGUUAGGAAGACACAGUUGUGUUUGAACACUUUAAUAAAGUUCUUCAAACAAAACUGCCAAGUAAUAGGCUAUGUAGUGUUCCAGUGAGGUCCAGAAAAGUUUUUAUUGGUUUGAUUUUGUUUUGUUUUGUUUUUGUGGUUGUUUUGUAAUUUUGUGUUUUCCAUUUUGUUAAAACACACUACUGAUGCCUAGAAAGAACAGUGAAUUUAACAAAACAAAAAAACAAACCACAUAACUUCAGUGUUAGAAUGACUUACUUAGCUUUUUAAUGUUUUUCUGCCUAACUCAGAAGUAGACACUUGGGUGUCCUGUGAGGCAGACAAGUUGCUAAGCUGGGUCACUGUCCACAGCACAAGCUAAUAAAUCUGUGAAGCAAAGGUAUCCGCACAGAGCGCACACAGAGCCUUUGGUAUUGUAGGGGGCCUGGUUUGUAUAUAUAGGCGGGCAUGCAGAUUGGCUGCUGGUGGGUCUUUUAUAUGGAGAUUGUAUUCAUUAGAGGAAUCAAGAAGUGCACACCUUUAAUCCCAGCACUUGGGAGGCAGAGGCAGGCGGAUUUCUGAGUUCGAGGACAGCCUGGUCUACAGAGUGAGUUCCAAGACAGACAGACAGUGCUAUACACAGAAACCCUGUCUCAAACAAGUACC